UUCCAAGCUGUGACCUCGUGAAGCACGUCUGCAUAUUCACAUUAAUCAAAUGUAUAUAUACAAAUGUUUUAUUUCAGAUGAGAUAUACAUAACAAUUGAAAUUUUUAGUGAAUUCUACGUAUUUGCAGAGUAAUUACAUAUCAAAACAGAAGACUGGAAACAAUUAGGAAAUUUCUCGUGGAGUCUAUAGUCACUGCAAGAAUGUCUUUGAUUAUAAGAUCUACUGGAUCAGGUUUGGUCUGGGACUAAACAACAACAACAACAACAACAACAACAACUACAGUAACAACCUAAGGUCCUAGAUGCACGAUGACACCUCUGACACUUUGUAAGAUACAGUAAAGAAUAAAAAUAAAAAUGCUCACUUCCGCCAUCCGGAACACUACGUAAUUCUGGGAUAGCUGACGACCCUUGACUAGACGAGAGCAAGUUGGACGAAAAUGACGACGAC